UCUGGUGCCAGCAGCCGCGGGUAAUUCCAGCUCCAAUAGCGUAUAUUAAAGUUGUUGCGGUUAAAAAGCUCGUAGUUGGACUUGUGUCCCACGCCGUCGGUUCGUCGCCCGUCGACGUAACCGCACGGUUAUUGCAAGUGGGACGUCCAGCCGGUGAGGCGCCGGAACCGGAGCGGGCGCGCGCGCCCACGUGCCGGCCAGCCGCACUAACCUGCGUGCCGGUCGCGUCACCGUGUCAGCGUCGCGUUGCUUGGCGCCGGGGUGCCGGCCUCAUAUUACUCGUCUCGGUGCUCUUAAUCGAGUGUCUUGACGGGCCGGCUCGUUUACUUUGAACAAAUUAGAGUGCUCAAAGCAGGCUCAAAUGCUUGAAUAUUGUGUGCAUGGAAUAAUGGAAUAGGAUCUCGGUUCUAUUUUAUUGGUUUUCUGAACCAGAGAUAAUGAUUAAUAGAGACUGACGGGGGCAUUCGUAUUGCGACGUUAGAGGUGAAAUUCUUGGAUCGUCGCAAGACGAACAGAAGCGAAAGCAUUUGCCAAGAAUGUUUUCUUUAAUCAAGAACGAAAGUUAGAGGUUCGAAGGCGAUCAGAUACCGCCCUAGUUCUAACCAUAAACGAUGCCAACUAGCGAUCCGCCGGUGUUCCUCCGAUGACCCGGCGGGCAGCUUCCGGGAAACCAAAGUGUUUGGGUUCCGGGGGAAGUAUGGUUGCAAAGCUGAAACUUAAAGGAAUUGACGGAAGGGCACCACCAGGAGUGGAGCCUGCGGCUUAAUUUGACUCAACACGGGAAACCUCACCAGGCCCGGACACUGGAAGGAUUGACAGAUUGAUAGCUCUUUCUUGAUUCAGUGGGUGGUGGUGCAUGGCCGUUCUUAGUUGGUGGAGCGAUUUGUCUGGUUAAUUCCGAUAACGAACGAGACUCUGGCCUGCUAACUAGUCGCAAUAACGACAUCCGCAUUCGUGCUGUCGGCGACAAAUACAAACUCUUCUUAGAGGGACAGGCGGCUUCUAGCCGCACGAGAUUGAGCAAUAACAGGUCUGUGAUGCCCUUAGAUGUUCUGGGCCGCACGCGCGCUACACUGAAGGAAUCAACGUGUGUUUUCCCUUGGCCGAGAGGUCCGGGUAACCCGCUGAACCUCCUUCGUGCUAGGGAUUGGGGCUUGCAAUUGUUCCCCAUGAACGAGGAAUUCCCAGUAAGCGCGAGUCAUAAGCUCGCGUUGAUUACGUCCCUGCCCUUUGUACACACCGCCCGUCGCUACUACCGAUUGAAUGAUUUAGUGAGGUCUUCGGACCGUCGCGCGGCAGCGCGUGCGAGCGCCUGUCGAUGUUCGACGGAAAGAUGAUCAAACUUGAUUAUUUAGAGGAAGUAAAAGUCGUAACAAGGUUUCCGCG
rnacentral:rRNA from 1 species